rnacentral:rRNA from 1 species
UUGCCCUACGGGGCGCAGCAGUGGGGAAUAUUGCACAAUGGGGGAAACCCUGAUGCAGCGACGCCGCGUGAGCGAUGAAGUAUUUCGGUAUGUAAAGCUCUAUCAGCAGGGAAGAAGAUGACGGUACCUGACUAAGAAGCCCCGGCUAACUACGUGCCAGCAGCCGCGGUAAUACGUAGGGGGCAAGCGUUAUCCGGAUUUACUGGGUGUAAAGGGAGCGUAGACGGCGAUGCAAGUCAGGUGUGAAAGCCCGGGGCUCAACCCCGGGACUGCAUUUGAAACUGUCAGGCUGGAGUGCAGGAGAG